ensembl:lncRNA
CAGUGGGUGUCUGUGAAGGGAGGUGGGACCCAGCCCGUCCUCUCUCUGCAUCUUUCCCAGGAGGUAGACAGCCGUGCUGGAGCACUUGCUCCUACCCUGAGGUUCCACUAGAAGCCGGAAGCAGGAGGGCCAAUCAUGGAGUGACACCUCCAAAACCAGUCUCGCUAUGCAGUUCAGACCGGCCUUGAACUCACUAUGGAGCCCAACUGACCUUGAACUCUCAGUUAUCCUCCUGCCUCAGCCUCCCAAGUGUUGGGAUUAUAGGCCUGCACCAUCAUGCCUGGCAUCAUUAAUAUUUUUUUUAGGGAC